GCUAUUUAUAAAAUUAUGACCAUAAAUUGAAGACAUGCCCAUAUCCCUUAAAGCAGGUGUUGGGGAUGACACAACAGAAGCUUGGCCCUCUUUGUUCACCAUUGAAGAUCUUCAGACCAAGAACACUCAAGCUUGUUUGGGGGAUCUAAUAUCUGAU
rnacentral:lncRNA from 11 species